rnacentral:rRNA from 1 species
ACAUGCAAGUCGAACGAGACUUUUCGUUGUAGCAAUACGAUGGAAAGUUUAGUGGCGAACGGGUGUUUAACACGUGGGCAACCUGCCAUGAAGUGGGGGAUAGCUCGCCGAAAGGCGAAUUAAUACCGCAUGUGAUUAGAAAGGACAUCCUUUCGAAAUUAAAGUCGGGGCAACCUGACGCUUCUUGUGGGGCCCGCGGCCUAUCAGCUAGUUGGUGAGGUAACGGCUCACCAAGGCUUUGACGGGUAGCUGGUCUGAGAGGACGACCAGCCACACUGGGACUGAGACACGGCCCAGACACCUACGGGUGGCAGCAGUCGAGAAUUUUUGACAAUGGGGGAAACCCUGAUCGAGCAACGCCGCGUGGAGGAUGAAGAUUUUCGGAUCGUAAACUCCUGUCGAAUGGGACGAACAGAUUGCGGGUGAACAGCCCGUAGUCCUGGCGGUACCGUUAAAGGAAACCCCGGUUACUCCGUGCCAACAGCCG